AAGUCGUAACAAGGUUUCCGUAGGUGAACCUGCGGAAGGAUCAUUAACACGUUAUCCAACGUAACACUACGAGAAUUUGGUUCCCUCCUCCCGCAGUCCGGAAUGAGCAGCAGCAUUAAUAGAGUGAUUGGAUUUGGGUAUGAUCGUUUCGGUCCCCGUGCUCUAUUUGCUAUUCAGCGCAAGCUGUACUGUUGUAUUCGGUUCGGCGGCUACUCUCGGCGCGCAAAUCUGAAUCCAUGAAGUGCGCGUCGGGAAACAUAUUCACACAUAUAACCUAUUUUUUGCUAGUUGACUUUAUUCUGUUGUUCACGAGCGCAAGCGAGUGUUCACACGUUUGAUUUAAUUGAACGUUAAAGAUACAACUCUUAGCAAUGGAUAUCUAGGUUCUC
rnacentral:misc_RNA from 1 species